UACAGAGGGGGCAAGCGUUGUUCGGAAUUACUGGGCGUAAAGGGCUCGUAGGUGGCCAACUAAGUCGGACGUGAAAUCCCCAGGCUCAACCUGGGAACUGCGUCCGAUACUGGAUGGCUUGAAUUCGGGAGAGGGAUGGCAGAAUUCCAGGGUGUAGCGGUGAAAUGCGUAGAUAUCUGGAGGAAUACCGGGUGGCGAAGGCGGCAUCCUGGACCGAGA
rnacentral:rRNA from 1 species